UACGGAGGGUGCAAGCGUUAUCCGGAUUCACUGGGUUUAAAGGGUGCGUAGGCGGAUAGGGAAGUCCGUGGUGAAAUCCUGCAGCUUAACUGCAGAACUGCCGUGGAUACUCUCUAUCUUGAAUAUCGUGGAGGUUAGCGGAAUAUGUCAUGUAGCGGUGAAAUGCUUAGAGAUGACAUAGAACACCUAUUGCGAAGGCAGCUUACUACGCAGAUAUUGACGCUC
rnacentral:rRNA from 1 species